GAUGAACGCUGACAGAAUGCUUAACACAUGCAAGUCAACUUGAAUUUGGGUUUUUGACUUAGGUUUGGGUGGCGGACGGGUGAGUAACGCGUAAAGAACUUGCCUCACAGCUAGGGACAACAUUUGGAAACGAAUGCUAAUACCUAAUAUUAUGAUAAUAGGGCAUCCUAUAAUUAUGAAAGCUAUAAGCGCUGUGAGAGAGCUUUGCGUCCCAUUAGCUAGUUGGAGAGGUAACGGCUCACCAAGGCGAUGAUGGGUAGCCGGCCUGAGAGGGUGAUCGGCCACAAGGAGACUGAGACACGGCCCUUACGCCUACGGGAGGCAGCAGGGGGGAAUAUUGGACAAUGGACCGAGAGUCUGAUCCAGCAAUUCUGUGUGCACGAUGAAGUUUUUCGGAAUGUAAAGUGCUUUCAGUUGGGAAGAAACAAAUGACGGUACCAACAGAAGAAGUGACGGCUAAAUACGUG
rnacentral:rRNA from 1 species